rnacentral:sRNA from 1 species
GGGACAAGGAACCUCUCUCUAGCCUCAGGGGCUUCUUUCCUGCCACCGUGCAGCCCCACAAGGUGAGACCCCCUCCCAGCUCCUGGAGAGCCACUCCUCUCCAGGCAUCACUCUUGUGCCUGCCAUCUCCCCUUUGCUACAAAUCUUUGUGUCCAAAUCUGACCCAAGGGCCAUGCCCACCUACAACCAGAGGGCCAGGCUGCAGCCUCCCACGCACCCCUCACCCCUCACCCUUCACCCUCUGUCUAGCCCUGUUCCAGUACAGCUGUGUUUGUGGCCACAGGCUCCUUGCUGCUCUGGGAGCUGACAUCAGGCAAAGCCAGUCCCCCCAGCCGGUUAUGCCACACACCCCUUUCCCCCGUGGAGGCGCUGGGAGGGCAGGUCCCCUAGGGACUUUUCCUGGAAGAUCAGAAUCCCUGCCCUUUAGAGGAGCAAAGUCAAGGGAACCUGGCCCUUUAGAAUCCACUGUCUUCCCACCCUCACGUACACCAGGUGCCCAGGCAGGCCUCAGCCCCUCCCCCAGCAUAUGCCUGGCACUGUCACCUGCCCAGGUGGGUAAUUGACUCUUUGGGCCUGGGUGCCACCAUCAUGCUCUUCAUUGCCCUUUCUCCAAGCUCCUUCCUUCCUCCCUGGCCCCUGUGCUUCUUUUAGACUUUCUUGUCCCAGGGCUGGGGCCAAGUCCUGUGAGGAGCUUGCAGGGUGUCAGGGCCCCUAGAAGCCAGCACUUCUCCAGGUUUCCCUUCUUGUUUGUCAGAGCUGAUGCUCACUGAGGGCCUCGCCCCUGGUAUCUCAGGGUUCUCCUGCCAUCUGUGUUGAGAGUAGGGGUUGCUAGCUCAGCCAGCUCUCGGAGGCCUGGCAGGCAGAGCUGGACUGGCGGCUGAGGGGCUCUGAGAGGUUAUACAGGUGACCGAGGGUGGUGUCCAGGCUGGGGGAAUCCAGGUCCUCAGCAUUCCCUGCUGUGCCCACCUCCAGCACUGCCUGAGGCCCAUCUGCUUCCCCGGCUAUGUACCCAACUCCGCGGUGCUACAGCAGAUGUGGCUAAAUGCGGAGGUCAGCAGCCUCGGAUCCCCGACUCAGCUCGCCUCCCAGAGAAAGUUCGAGGCAAGGGGCAGGGCUGGGGGUUUUGCCGGCAGGGGAGGGCUCUGCUGUCCUUGCAACCCAUCAGGCACCAUCUCUUGCCCCUCUGCAGCCAGGGGCAAGCCAGGAUGCCCUGUGGUUGUGGCGCCCCAGGCCAUCCCAAGCCCAGUGGCAGAGGAAGCUGCUCCAGUGCAUGGGGGAGAAGCCUGGGGAGGAGGGGGAGGAAGACGAGAAGGAAGAGGAGGAGGAGAAGGAAGACGAGGAGCUGGACCAGGCCUUGGCUUCCCUGAGCCCGCACUCCAACCAGCAGCUGGAUUCCUGGGAACUGGAGGAUCAGAGUGCUGUGGACUGGACCCAGGAGCCCCGGCGGCGCAGCUGCAAGGCUGCCAGGACCCACCCUCAUCCCUGGCACCGUCAUGGGAGUUUGCUCUUGGAUGAGCAUUACGGGCAUCUUCCCAAGUUUCUGCAUUUCUUCAUCUACCAGACCUGGUUCAAAAAGUUGUUCCCCAUCUUCAGCCUGCAGGUUGGAGGGAACUGGGGAUGCAUGAGAAGCAUGGGUUAGGGUGAGGGACAGGGGAGAAGAUAGGGGCUGGCUUGGGUGUGAUAUGGGAGCAGGGCCUCAGCAUGCUACCCUGCAGGCAUACCCGGAGGCAGGCACGGUCGAGGGCCUGGCCUCGCUGUUGGUGGCCCUGCUGGAGAAGACCACGUGGGUCGACCGUGUGCACAUCCUGCAGGUGCUACUGAGACUGCUGCCCAACAUGAGCAGUGAUCUCCAAGGCCAGCUGCAGGGCCUGCUCAUACACUUGCUCAACCUGGACCAGCCCCCCAGCCUCCAGGUGUGCCCCUUGUCCUGCCCCCAGUUUUCCUCCCCGCCCACCGGCCCUCAGCAACCACAUCCCCACCGCCUGCCUCAGGACCAGACGCAGAAGAAGUUCGUGAUACUGGCGCUGCAGCUGCUCCUGGCCUGCUCCCUGGAGUCCCGGGAUGUGGUGCUGGAGCUCAUGUCCUACUUCCUCUACUCUCCCGUGCACUGCCGGUGAGUUGCGCUCCUGCCCAGCCCUCCCUGCCACUGGGAAGGCCUCUGGACAAGCCACAUGCACCUGUCCCAGGCCAGAGCUCAAGAAGCUGCUGCACGGGCUGGGCCUUCGGGACCCAGAGGGCUUCCUAUUCAAGGAGAUGAUGACCUGGGUCCAGGGCCCAGACCUGGACUCCAAGGCCGGCCUGCGCACUUGCUGCCACCAGAAACUGGAGGACAUGAUCCAGCAGCUUCAGGAGACCCCAUCGCAGACGUCAGUGGUCUCUGGGGCACCCACACGCGCCUCCGUGAUACCCUCGGGCACCUCCUGGUCGCCCUCCAGCAUCUUCGGGAGGCUCUCACAGGUCUCAGAGGUGCCUUUGAUGGUGGUCUCACCUGCGGAGCCGCACUCUUUAGCCCCGGAGCUCCAGGCCCAGCGGACGCUGGCACCCACGCGCAGCUGGGGGACCCCUCAGCUCCGUCUCGGAGUGCUCUCCGAGACGCUGAAGAGCUUUUGCCUGGAGCCCGAGGCCCGCCUGCACCCUGCCGGGCCUGCUCAGCUGCCCGGAGAGCCGCCGCCGCUGGAGGAGACCGACUGGUCGCACUCGCAGCUGCUGGACUUGGGCCCCAUCGACGCGCUCAACUUCUUCUGUGAGCAGCUGCGGGCGCAGCAGCGGAGUUCGCUCCAGGAGAAGGCUGCGCACCCACACCCGCCAGUGCCCGACACGGUGGCGCCGGUGCCCGACAUGGUGGUGCCACCUCCACAGGAGCACUGGUGCCACCCCAUCCUCCGGCUGCAGGAGGCCAAGCCGCAGAGGUCUGCGAGGUCCGCGAUGAGACUGAGGGGUGAGUGGAGCCAGGGGUGGAGACUGGACCCCACCCCACCCCAGCCCCCGGGCCUCAUAAGCCUCCGCCCGCCCCCAGGCCCCAUGCUGUCCCGGCUCUGUGCGGGCCGCACCCUGGACGGCCGCAUCCGGACGCUGAAGCUGCCGCUGCCGCGUGUGGAGCCGCAGCCUUUCCCCCUGGACUGGCCCACGCCUCCGCGCCCGCUGCCCCCGCGGCUCCUGCAGCCGGCCCUGCAGCGCUACUUUCUGCCAGCGGACGCGGACCCUGACACCUACAGCUGACCGGGCUGGUGGCCUCAGCCCGCCUGGCUCUGGGGCCUGUCAUUGGUAUUUGGCCAAGGCCUGCAUCGGGAAUAAAGUCCAGAGAAUUUC